rnacentral:rRNA from 1 species
UAAGACAGAGGCCUCGAGCGUUAGACGGAAUCACUGGGCUUAAAGCGUGUGUAGGCGGAAUUGCAAGUACCUUGUGAAAUCCCACGGCUCAACCGUGGAACUGCUUGGUAUACUGCUCUUCUUGAGCAAUCUAGGGGCGAGUGGAACAGAUGGUGGAGCGGUGAAAUGCGUAGAUAUCAUCUGGAACGCCAAUGGUGAAGACAACUCGCUGGGGAUUUGCUGACGCUGAGACACGAAAGCCAGGGGAGCGAACGGGAUUAGAUACCCCGGUAGUCCUGGCCCUAAACGAUGUCCACUAGAUUGUGGCGGCUCUGACGCCGUCACGGUCGAAGCAAAAGUGUUAAGUGGACCGCCUGGGAAGUACGGUCGCAAGGCUA